ACUCAAAUGAAUUGACGGGGGCCCGCACAAGCAGUGGAGCAUGUGGUUUAAUUCGACGAUACGCGAAGAACCUUACCAGGGCUUGACAGCUACGGAAUUUUUAGGAAACUAAGAAGUGCCCGCAAGGGAGCCGUAAGACAGGUGGUGCAUGGCUGUCGUCAGCUCGUGUCGUGAGAUGUUGGGUUAAGUCCCGCAACGAGCGCAACCCCCAUUCUGUGUUGCCAGCACCUCGGGUGGGAACUCACAGGAGACUGCCUGUAAAAAGCAGGAGGAAGGUGGGGAUGACGUCAAGUCAUCAUGCCCCUUACGCCCUGGGCUACACACAUGCUACAAUGGCCGGCACAAAGGGUCGCGAAGCCGCAAGGUGAAGCUAAUCUCAAAAAACCGGCCUCAGUUCGGAUUGUAGUCUGCAACUCGACUACAUGAAGUUGGAAUUGCUAGUAAACGCAGAUCAGCUACGCUGCGUUGAAUACGUUCCCGGGCCUUGUACACACCGCCCGU
rnacentral:rRNA from 1 species